rnacentral:rRNA from 1 species
AACGAACGCUGGCGGCGUGGAUAAGACAUGCAAGUCGAGCGAUUACUAUUGGGUAGCAAUAUCUGGUAGUGAGAGCGGCGCAAGGGUGCGUAACAAGUGGGCAAUCUGCCGUGAAGUUUGGGAUAAUCCCGCGAAAGCGGGACUAAUACCGGAUGUGACAACUGGGAGGCAUCUUUUGGUUGUCAAAGUUGGGGACCGCAAGGCCUGACGCUUCACGAUGAGCCCG